rnacentral:rRNA from 1 species
UACGUAGGGUGCGAGCGUUGUCCGGAAUUACUGGGCGUAAAGAGCUCGUAGGUGGUUUGUCGCGUUGUCCGUGAAAACUCACAACUCAAUUGUGGGCGUGCGGGCGAUACGGGCAGACUGGAGUACUGCAGGGGAGACUGGAAUUCCUGGUGUAGCGGUGGAAUGCGUAGAUAUCAGGAGGAACACCGGUGGCGAAGGCGGCUACCUGGACAGAAACUGACGCUGAGGCGCGAAAGCUAGGGGAGCAAACAGG